CGCGUAGGCGGUUGUGUAAGUCAGAUGUGAAAUCUCCCGGCUCAACCGGGAAACAGCAUUUGAUACUGCAUGACUCGAGUACAGGAGAGGGAAACGGAAUUCCCGGUGUAGAGGUGAAAUUCGUAGAUAUCGGGAGGAACACCGGUGGCGAAGGCGGUUUCCUGGCCUGAUACUGACGCUGAGGCGCGAAAGCGUGGGUAGCAAACA
rnacentral:rRNA from 1 species